UGACCUCAAAUCAGGUAGGACUACCCGCUGAACUUAAGCAUAUCAAUAAGCGGAGGAAAAGAAACUAACAAGGAUUCCCCUAGUAACUGCGAGUGAAGCGGGAAAAGCUCAAAUUUAAAAUCUGGCAGUCUCUGACUGUCCGAGUUGUAAUCUAGAGAAGUGUUAUCCGCGCUGGACCGUGUACAAGUCUCCUGGAAUGGAGCGUCAUAGAGGGUGAGAAUCCCGUCUUUGACACGGACUGCCAGGGCUUUGUGAUAUGCUCUCAAAGAGUCGAGUUGUUUGGGAAUGCAGCUCAAAAUGGGUGGUAAAUUCCAUCUAAAGCUAAAUAUUGGCGAGAGACCGAUAGCGAACAAGUACCGUGAGGGAAAGAUGAAAAGAACUUUGGAAAGAGAGUUAAACAGUACGUGAAAUUGCUGAAAGGGAAACGCUUGAAGUCAGUCACGUUGGCCAGGGAUCAACCUUGCUUUUGCUUGGUGUACUUUCUGGUUGAUGGGUCAGCAUCAAUUUUGACCAUUGGAAAAAGGUCAAGGGAAUGUGGCAUCUUCGGAUGUGUUAUAGCCCUUGGUUGCAUACAAUGGUUGGGAUUGAGGAACUCAGCAUGCCGCAAGGCCGGGUU
rnacentral:rRNA from 1 species